GCCCGGGUGGCUCAGUCGGUUAAGCGUCCGACUUCGGCUCAGGUCACGAUCUCACGGUUCGUGGGUUCGAGCCCCGUGUCGGGCU
rnacentral:tRNA from 1 species